UUUGAUCCGUGUUUACGCGUACUGUGCAUGUGAAGGUGUUAGCGUGCACUCAGUUUAAAAUUGCACCUGCUUCGAUCCUUGCUUACGCCAAUUCCACUUUUGCCUUUUUGACAUUUAUUUCAACCAUGCCUUACAUAUUUCACAUGCUUCUAUUUCAUUUUUUUAUUUUUUUUCCUCAUUCAAUAAUUCAUAUCUCAUGAAAUAAUUGUCCAAAUUAACUGAAAUUUUUUU
rnacentral:lncRNA from 1 species